rnacentral:rRNA from 1 species
GUCCACGCCGUAAACGAUGAAUGCCAGACGUCGGGUAGCAUGCUAUUCGGUGUCACACCUAACGGAUUAAGCAUUCCGCCUGGGGGAGUACGGCCGCAAGGUUAAAAACUCAAAGGAAUUGACGGGGGCCCGCACAAGCGGUGGAGCAUGUGGUUUAAUUCGAAGCAACGCGCAGAACCUUACCAACCCUUGACAUGGCAGUGACCGUUCCAGAGAUGGUUCUUUCUCGUAAGAGACACUGCACACAGGUGCUGCAUGGCUGUCGU